AAGAGGGGUGCCUUAAUAAAACGGGCUGAGAUCAUACCCAUUAACCUGAUCCGGAUAAUGCCGGCGGAGGGAUAAA
rnacentral:ncRNA from 1 species